AGAAGAAGAAGAGAAAAAAAAAAAACGCACGAGACUUUUACAGGGCCCGCGUCCCUCUCUUUCAGUUUUCUAUAAUUUUUUCCCCUUUUCCUUUCACGUA
rnacentral:ribozyme from 1 species